rnacentral:rRNA from 1 species
GAUGAACGCUGGCGGCGUGCCUAAUACAUGCAAGUCGAGCGAACGGACGAGAAGCUUGCUUCUCUGAUGUUAGCGGCGGACGGGUGAGUAACACGUGGAUAACCUACCUAUAAGACUGGGAUAACUUCGGGAAACCGGAGCUAAUACCGGAUAAUAUUUUGAACCGCAUGGUUCAAAAGUGAAAGACGGUCUUGCUGUCACUUAUAGAUGGAUCCGCGCUGCAUUAGCUAGUUGGUAAGGUAACGGCUUACCAAGGCAACGAUGCAUAGCCGACCUGAGAGGGUGAUCGGCCACACUGGAACUGAGACACGGUCCAGACUCCUACGGGAGGCAGCAGUAGGGAAUCUUCCGCAAUGGGCGAAAGCCUGACGGAGCAACGCCGCGUGAGUGAUGAAGGUCUUCGGAUCGUAAAACUCUGUUAUUAGGGAAGAACAUAUGUGUAAGUAACUGUGCACAUCUUGACGGUACCUAAUCAGAAAGCCACGGCUAACUACGUGCCAGCAGCCGCGGUAAUACGUAGGUGGCAAGCGUUAUCCGGAAUUAUUGGGCGUAAAGCGCGCGUAGGCGGUUUUUUAAGUCUGAUGUGAAAGCCCACGGCUCAACCGUGGAGGGUCAUUGGAAACUGGAAAACUUGAGUGCAGAAGAGGAAAGUGGAAUUCCAUGUGUAGCGGUGAAAUGCGCAGAGAUAUGGAGGAACACCAGUGGCGAAGGCGACUUUCUGGUCUGUAACUGACGCUGAUGUGCGAAAGCGUGGGGAUCAAACAGGAUUAGAUACCCUGGUAGUCCACGCCGUAAACGAUGAGUGCUAAGUGUUAGGGGGUUUCCGCCCCUUAGUGCUGCAGCUAACGCAUUAAGCACUCCGCCUGGGGAGUACGACCGCAAGGUUGAAACUCAAAGGAAUUGACGGGGACCCGCACAAGCGGUGGAGCAUGUGGUUUAAUUCGAAGCAACGCGAAGAACCUUACCAAAUCUUGGCAUCCUUUGACAACUCUAGAGAUAGAGCCUUCCCCUUCGGGGGACAAAGUGACAGGUGGUGCAUGGUUGUCGUCAGCUCGUGUCGUGAGAUGUUGGGUUAAGUCCCGCAACGAGCGCAACCCUUAAGCUUAGUUGCCAUCAUUAAGUUGGGCACUCUAAGUUGACUGCCGGUGACAAACCGGAGGAAGGUGGGGAUGACGUCAAAUCAUCAUGCCCCUUAUGAUUUGGGCUACACACGUGCUACAAUGGACAAUACAAAGGGCAGCGAAACCGCGAGGUCAAGCAAAUCCCAUAAAGUUGUUCUCAGUUCGGAUUGUAGUCUGCAACUCGACUACAUGAAGCUGGAAUCGCUAGUAAUCGUAGAUCAGCAUGCUACGGUGAAUACGUUCCCGGGUCU